GCCGCGGUAGCUCAGCCCUGGUGGAGCGCCGGACUCAUAAUCCGGAGGUCCGGGGUUCGAAUCCCCGCCGCGGCACCA
rnacentral:tRNA from 2 species